rnacentral:rRNA from 1 species
UACGGAGGGUGCAAGCGUUGUCCGGAUUUAUUGGGUUUAAAGGGUGCGUAGGCGGCUUUUUAAGUCAGUGGUGAAAGACAACAGCUCAACUGUUGCAGUGCCAUUGAUACUGAAGAGCUUGAGUACAGAUGAGGUAGGCGGAAUUUAUGGUGUAGCGGUGAAAUGCAUAGAUACCAUAAAGAACACCUAUUGCGAAGGCAGCUUACUAAGCUGUAACUGACGCUGAGGCACGAAAGUGUGGGGAGCAAACAGG